UAUAAGUAUCUUGAACCUUAAGUUGG
rnacentral:piRNA from 1 species